UUUUUUUUUUUUUUUUUUUUUUGACACAACUGAGGCCCCUUUAGCACUGAGCUAUUCUCCUAACUGUGUUCAGGAGUCUUUGAAUGAGUUCCUACAUAAAAGCACUUCUACUGCUCUUCUAAGGAACGAUUUUUACUUUGAACUUUAGUUGAAAUUAAUCUUGAAAGGCUGUCAUUCAAGGACAUGGACAUAAAGUAUUUUCUUUUUUAAUAAUAAUGCUAAUAACAUUUCUUUUUAAUAAUAUCAACACUUUCCAGCACAGGCUUUAAGAACUUUGUUUUUGACUUGGCUGCCAUGAGUGACUGUUAAUUAACAGUCCUUUUGAUUUUAAAUUAAAUCAUAAUGAAGCUGCCAGAAACACUUGAAAUUGAGAAUAGAGUUGCUCGUCACUAAAUUCAAGACAGACAGUAACUGCCAGUUUUCUGGACUCUGAUCCUAAACCAUAGACAAGUACCCACAAAACAACACAAGCACAACUAUACAUAUGUACUCAUAUCACACACACACACACACACACACACACACUCAUGGAAAUCAAACAUAUAAGUCACCUAACCACUAAAGCAGAGAAACAAGAAAAACCAAGACAUAUUCAGUAUAUUUUAUUUCCUCAACAUUGAGUAGUCUAGUUUGCAUUAAGAUUUAUUGAUUGAUUAACAGAGACAGGGUCUCAUAUAGUUCAAUCUGGCCUCAAACUUGAACUUCCUAUCCUUUUGCUUUUUCCAAGUACUAGGAUUACAGACACAUUUUAUUGUGGUCAAUGUAUAUAACAUAUGAUGACUAUUUUUCUAUUUUUGAGAUUAUAAAAUAAUUACCCCCCAACUUCCUCUCUCAAAUUCUUCCCACGGAUCUCUCCUUGUUCUCUUUGUCAGCCAUGGUGCCUUUUUUCUUUUUUUCUUUCCUUUUUUUAAAAAAAGAUUUAUUUAUUAUUAUAAAUAAGUACACUGUUAGGGCGUCAGGUUUCAUUACAGGUGGUUGUGAACCACCAUGUGGUUGCUGGGAUUUGAACUCAGGGCCUCUGGAAGAGCAGUCAGUGAUCUUAACCGCUGAGCCACCUCACAAGCCUGGUGCCUUUUUUCAUUAACUGUUAUCACACAUAUAUGUAUAUACAUAUAUUCUUUUAAAUAUACAAUCUGGUGGUCCUAACUCUAGGCCCUAUAUAAUUUAAAUUCUGCUAGUUUAUCUUUUGGUUAGAGAAUUUAAUACACUUACAUUUAAAGUAUAGCUUUUUAUUCUUCCCUUCCUGAUAUGCUGUUUCCUUUUAAGUUUAGUUUGUUAAAAAAACUUUAUCUAUUAUAAUAAUGUGUGUGUGUGUGUGUAUGUGUGUGUGUGUGUGAGUGUGUAUGAGUUUAUGUGAACCACAGACAUGCAGGAGCUCCCAAGAGGUCAGAAGAGAGCAUCAGAUUCCCUUGAACCAGAGUUAUAGAUGAUUUUGAGGCCCCAUGUGGGAGAGGUGGGAGCCAAAUCCAGUCCCCUGCAAGAAAGUGUAAAAGCAACAAGUACAACUCUUGUUCACCACAAGCCAGUGUUUACUGCUCAGCAGUUGCCUGCCAACAGUAUCUGGCCAGCACUUUAAUUCAGAGGUUCUAGACUCUGGGUCUAGGGAGGAAAAAGGCCAUUCAUCUUGCGCGUGCUCGACUGGCCAGGAAGAACGACGCUGCAACAGGAUCCUUCUGCACACGUUUAUUGGGAGAGCUUGAUUGUAGAGGCGAAAAGACCCCAAGCCCAGAACUGGUGCUGCUUACAUAGGCCUAGGAGAGGCGUGUCUCACAUCUGAUUGGUUAACUUGUCUUGGCAAAAGAACCUUCACUGCCUAUGUAUGUGUGGUGGCCAGCAGUAGCCAACUGCCACUCUGCAACUGCCACUCUGCAACUGCCACUCUGCAACUGCCACUCUGCAACUGCCACUCUGCAACGACUUCCCACACAUUCAUUGGACACUUUGCUCUCCUCUGCAUGGAAGCCUGAGGGUCAGACUGUAGCAGGUAACAUGUGGAGCUGGGUACAGGGACAAAUGACAUGUCUAUUCUGAGAGAACAUGCUUGCUUACAUUCUCUGUGCUGGCUAAAUCACUGAAGUGCUUUCUUAAAACUUUUAAAGGGGUAUUUGAAAGUCACGAGUUUAGAUGAACAUUCAACUAGUUCAAGAAUUCCUUAUUUGAAUGCCUUAAUAGAUACUGGCCCAGAAUCUGUGCGUGACAUUAUAUAUGUUUAUGUGCAUGUGUUAUAUGGAUGUACACAUGUGGAGGCCAGACAUCAAUGUUGAGUAUUGUUCUUUUUUUUUUUUUUUAAGAUUUAUUUAUUAUUAUAUGUAAGUACACUGUAGCUGUCUUCAGACACUCCAGAAGAGGGAGUCAGAUCUUGUUACGGAUGGUUGUGAGCCACCAUGUGGUUGCUGGGAUUUGAACUCUGGACCUUCAGAAGAGCAGUCGGGUGCUCUUACCCACUGAGCCAUCUCACCAGCCCUGAGUAUUGUUCUUAAUUUAUCUCUACACUAUUACAUUUUUAAAAAGAUUUAUUUAUUUAUUUUUAUUUAUAUGAGUACACUGUAGCUGUCUGUCUUCAGACACACCAGAAGAGGGCACCAGAUACUAUUACAGAUGGUUGUGAGCUACCGUAUAGUUGCUGGGAAUUAAACUCAGGAUCUCUGAAGAGCAGUCAGUGCUCUGACUGCUAAACCAUCCUUCCACCUCUAUUCAUAUGACUCCAAAAAAGAUUAAAACCCAAAAUUAUGUGUUGUUUUUUGUCUGUUUGUUUUUUGUUUUGAUCCUUCUUUUCCUAAUCAAAUCUCUGCUUAUUCUCCUGGAAUUUGAACAUUCAUGUGUCAAUUUCUCUACCAUUAAUUUGUCUUAUUUAAUGCUACAUGAAAACUUCAAAAUUAACAUCUGCAUUGUGGCAUUCCUUUUGCUAUUUAAUGUUUCAUGACUGUGGGAACUUCACAGUAGGUUCAGAGUUUUCGUUGUUACGUGCUACAGGUACACAAAAAUACAACUGUGGACACAAAGAUGUUCAUUGUCUUCAAUUUAAUACCCAUGUAGACUCAAAUUUCAAGGGUGCAUUUCACACUGUGCCUGGAACUGAGUGACACACGACAACUGAGAGCUGUCCUACUGUCUUACCUCUGCUUUACGGAUACUUUCUCUUGCUUCAUCUAUUUUCUGUUCCAGCUCUGCUCGGCUCUGUUCUGAUAGAGCAACUCCAUGACAUUCUAGUUCAUUUAGAACCUGUCAAAGAAAAUAAAGUUUUUUGUUCUCAUUUC